GACGAGGGGUCCAAGCGUUGGUCGGAAUCAUUGGGCGUAAAGCGGGUGUAGGUGGCUUUGUAAGGCAGGAGGGAAAUCCCCGAGCUUAACUUGGGAAGUGCUUUUGAUACUGCGAAGCUUGAAUGUGGGAGAGGAUCGUGGAAUUCCAGGUGUAGUGGUGAAAUACGUAGAUAUCUGGAGGAACACCGGUGGCGAAGGCGGCGAUCUGGCCCAACAUUGACACUGAGACCCGAAAGCAUGGGGAUCAAACAGG
rnacentral:rRNA from 1 species